rnacentral:lncRNA from 1 species
AUGGUACCAUCAUCUUUUGGUGGUAGAGCGUUGGCGCCUGUAAACGGCAAUGGAGGUUGCACGUAUGCAUCAUUGUCAAACUUGUCGAAAUGCUCAUCCCGUAACUUGCUAUCACGGAUCCAAUUAUGGAGACACAUGCAUGCAGUGACAAUCAUUUUUUGGGUCUCCGGUUUGUACCGAGGUAUGUCUUCGAGAAUUCGCCAUUUCAUCUUCAGAACACCAAAUGUUCUUUCGAUGAUAUUUCGCAAAGAAGAAUGUCGAUGGUUGAAUGUCUCAGAUCUCCCAACUGGUGGGUGUUGUUGGAAAUCUGGUACAUGGUAUCAUUGCC